rnacentral:rRNA from 1 species
GUUUGAUCCUGGCUCAGGACGAACGCUGGCGGCGUGCCUAAUACAUGCAAGUCGAGCGAGCCGAACUAAUUGAUUACCUUCGGGUAUGAAGUUAGGGAAGCGAGCGGCGGAUGGGUGAGUAACACGUGGGUAACCUACCCUAUAGUCUGGGAUACCACUUGGAAACAGGUGCUAAUACCGGAUAAAAGGAGAGAUCACAUGAUUUCUUUUUGAAAGGCGGCGUAAGCUGUCGCUAAAGGAUGGACCCGCGGUGCAUUAGCUAGUUGGUAAGGUAACGGCUUACCAAGGCAACGAUGCAUAGCCGAGUUGAGAGACUGAUCGGCCACAUUGGGACUGAGACACGGCCCAAACUCCUACGGGAGGCAGCAGUAGGGAAUCUUCCACAAUGGACGCAAGUCUGAUGGAGCAACGCCGCGGUGGAAGGUGAAGAAGGUUUUCGGAUCGUAAAGCUUCUGUUGUUGGUGAAGAAAGAUAGUGAGAGUAACUGCUCAUUAUUUGCCGGUAAUCAACCAGAAAGUCACGGCUAACUACGUGCCAGCAGCCGCGGUAAUACGUAGGUGGCAAGCGUUGUCCGGAUUUAUUGGGCGUAAAGCGAGCGCAGGCGGAAAGAUAAGUCAGAUGUGAAAGCCCUCGGCUUAACCGAGGAAUAGCAUCGGAAACUGUCUUUCUUGAGUGCAGAAGAGGAGAGUGGAACUCCAUGUGUAGCGGUGGAAUGCGUAGAUAUAUGGAAGAACACCAGUGGCGAAGGCGGCUCUCUGGUCUGUAACUGACGCUGAGGCUCGAAAGCAUGGGUAGCGAACAGGAUUAGAUACCCUGGUAGUCCAUGCUGUAAACGAUGAGUGCUAAGUGGUUUGGGGAGGUUUCCGCCUCUCAGUGCUGCAGCUAACGCAUUAAGCACUCCGCCUGGGGAGUACGACCGCAAGGUCAAAACUCAAAGGAAUUUGACGGGGGCCCGCACAAGCGGUGGAGCAUGGUGGUUUAAUUCGAAGCAACGCGAAGAACCUUACCAGGUCUUGACAUCUAGUGCCAACCUAAGAGAUUAGGCGUUCCCUUCGGGGACACUAAGACAGGUGGUGCAUGGCUGUCGUCAGCUCGUGUCGUGAGAAUUGUUUGGGUUAAGUUCCCGCAACGAAGCGAACCCUUAUUAUUAGUUGCCAGCAUUAAGUUGGGCACUCUAAUGAGACUGCCGGUGACAAACCGGAGGAAGGUGGGGAUGACGUCAAGUCAUCAUGCCCCUUAUGACCUGGGCUACACACGUGCUACAAUGGGCAGUACAACGAGGAGCGAACUUGUGAAGGCAAGCGAAUCUCUGAAAGCUGUUCUCAGUUCGGACUGUAGGCUGCAACUCGCCUACACGAAGCUGGAAUCGCUAGUAAUCGCGGAUCAGCACGCCG